GAUGAACGCUAGCGGCAGGCUUAACACAUGCAAGUCGAGGGGCAGCACGUCUUCGGAUGGUGGCGACCGGCGCACGGGUGCGUAACGCGUAUACAAUCUACCUUUUACAGGGGCAUAGCCCGGGGAAACCCGGAUUAAUAUCCCAUGGUAUUAUUAAAUGGCAUCGUUUGAUAAUUAAAGCUUCGGCGGUAAAAGAUGAGUAUGCGUCCUAUUAGUUAGUUGGUAAGGUAACGGCUUACCAAGGCAGCGAUAGGUAGGGGUCCUGAGAGGGAGAUCCCCCACACUGGUACUGAGACACGGACCAGACUCCUACGGGAGGCAGCAGUGAGGAAUAUUGGACAAUGGGCGAGAGCCUGAUCCAGCCAUGCCGCGUGCAGGAAGACUGCCCUAUGGGUUGUAAACUGCUUUUAUACGGGAAGAAACACCCCUUCGUGAAGGGGCUUGACGGUACCGUAUGAAUAAGGAUCGGCUAACUCCGUGCCAGCCGCCGCCGUAACAC
rnacentral:rRNA from 1 species